rnacentral:tRNA from 1 species
AAGGGUAUAGCUCAGUGGUAGAGUGCAUGCCUAGCAUGCAUAAGGUUCUGGGUUCAAUCCCCAGUACCUCUG